rnacentral:rRNA from 1 species
GAUCAUGGCUCAGGAUGAACGCUGGCGGCGUGCCUAACACAUGCAAGUCGAACGGAGUUAUGCAGAGGAAGUUUUCGGAUGGAAUCGGCGUAACUUAGUGGCGGACGGGUGAGUAACGCGUGGGAAACCUGCCCUGUACCGGGGGAUAACACUUAGAAAUAGGUGCUAAUACCGCAUAAGCGCACAGCUUCACAUGAGGCAGUGUGAAAAACUCCGGUGGUACAGGAUGGUCCCGCGUCUGAUUAG